UACAGAGGGUGCGAGCGUUAAUCGGAAUUACUGGGCGUAAAGGGCGCGUAGGCGGUUUGGUCAGUCGGAUGUGAAAGCCCCGGGCUUAACCUGGGAAUGCCAUUCGAUACUGCCUGACUGGAGUAUGGUAGAGGGAAGCGGAAUUCCGGGUGUAGCGGUGAAAUGCGUAGAGAUCCGGAGGAACACCAGUGGCGAAGGCGGCUUCCUGGACCAAUACUGACGCUGAGGCGCGAAAGCGUGGGGAGCAAACAGG
rnacentral:misc_RNA from 1 species